rnacentral:misc_RNA from 1 species
UAUUAUUCAAAAGUCCAAAAAUUGAGACAUUAGUGAAAUAAAAAAAAAAUAAUUUUCACAAAAACAAAUUCGCAAAUCCAAAAAUGUCUUUGUCUGACUACGUAAAAAUAAUUAUGAAAAGGAUUGACUGGACAAAAGAUGAUCUCUCACUGUAAAGGCCUUCAAGGGAAGGCAUUGCAUUCAGGAGGCCUAGAAUAGCAAGCCCAAACAACAGCCCAUCACCAUUACAAUAAACCCCAAGAAUCACAAGCAGAAGACUCACCAUCUUCCUCUCUUCAGCACCGUCAAUCAUCCUUCACUGAGCUGGAAUGUCAAAAGGGAAAGGAAAAAACCAGGCGACGCAGGGAAUCCCAAACUGAGCAAGUGGAGACCAUUGAACAAGCAACCAAAAGGAGCACAUUUCCCAUCUAGCACCCAAGCCUCUGGAACCAAAAGAUCGAAAUAAAAGGUACGAACGAACGGUAAGACAGCCCUUUUGCAUUCUAGCUCUUGAGGGACUGACGCCUCAAAGAUGACAUAAAUAGCGUCUCAGAGAGGUAUCGUGCCACAAAUAAUCAGAACUCGUUAACCCAUUGACCCGAAGCAGCCCAAGCAAUAAUAACCACAAAAAGUAAAAAAUCUCCUCGUCAUAGCUUCAAAUAUUUAAGUAGAAGAGAAACACACAUAAGCAGAUUCCUGGUUCUGUCUUCAAUGAAGAUCAAACAUUUAGCGAAACCAAAACUAUAAACAACCCUGCCUGGAGGUGAGAAGGGAGAACCCAUUCAUGGGGCAAGAAAAGUUGACCCCUAC